UCUGUCACUCAGGCUGGAGUGCAGUGGUGCGAUCGUGGCUCACUGAAGCCUCAAACUCCUGGGCUCCCUCGAUCCUACUGCCUCAGUCUCCCAAGUCACUGGGAUUGAGUUAGCUUUCAUUUAAGACACAAACUUAAACAUUAUUCUUGAGUUUUCUCUCUCAGACCCACCAUCAGUCCACUGGGGUCCAGCAAGCCUCACGUCCUGCAGGCGUCCCCAGCUGAACUCCCCCUCUCCCCUCUCCCCCGGUCCCAGUUGCUUGUCCCCUCCCCCUCCUCCAACUGCCCUCCCGGCCACACCCCACAUUUCCUGGACCAACCCAAGUGAUCCUUAAAAAGAUGGCAUCAUUUACAUCAUGCCACUCCCUUUCUCAAAAUUCUUCACCAUCUUUUCUUCCAACUAGGAGCUCAAACCCAAAUCCCGAAACAAGCACGCCCCAGGUUUUCAAACCCAAAUCCCUAAACAAGCACGCCCCAGGUUUUCAAAGCCACGUUGGCAUUUUCAGCGGCAAACUCCCCCACCCAACACCCACCAUUCUGCUUGGGUUGUCAGAAAAUUGGCCAAAAUCUCUUAUUCAUUCUACUAUUUUAAAAUUCCUAUGUUCACCGUGAUAUGAUCUAAAAAUGCAGAUUAUAUCCAUUUUCCUUGUUGUUUUCCUUCCAAUCCUUUUGCUUCUUUUUCUCACCUUGUCCUUCCGGGAGCCCCUGCAGCUGACGCUGAUGUCGGAGUCUCGGGUGUUCCUUCUGGUCUCGCUCCCGACUUGAGGAGGCAGAUUUCAACAUGGAGCAGCAGCCAAACUUACGCAGUGUGCAGACGGAGCUGCUCAGAGGGGAGGGGCAGCGAGCAGGUGCCACGUCCACACCGGGUGAGGCGUGAGGUGAGGGCUCCCCCGCGCCGCCCUGGCGUCCAGGUGGUGAGGGCUGCACGGAAACGUGGACUUCGGCAGAACAUGUGUGCGCCACGGAGCGGCUGCGUGCAGCCCGCAGAGACGGGGUCUUGCUCUGUCACCCAGGCUGAAGUGCAGUGGCAUGAACAGGGCUCAUGGAAGCCUCGACCUCCCCAGCUCAAGUGAUCCUCCCUCCUCAGCCUCCUAGGGUGUUGGAUUGCAGGUGUGAGCCACGGCGCCCCAUAGGCACAAUCCUUUUAAAUCUCUGGUCAGAUUCCCUCGCUUCUCCUCUCAGAUCUUCUUGGUGCCUUCCCACCUCACUCCAAGCAAAACACAAAACCUGUGUCACAGUCUGCAAGCAUUCCAGUGGCGAGUCCCACCAGCCCCACCCCACCGUCUACCGGCUCUGUCCCCACCAGCUUUUUCCAGCCACUCCCUCUGCAGGGGACGUCCUCCAUCGCACAUCCACAGGCCUGUGUCCUUCCUUGCGCCACUCCUCAAAUGUCAUGCUGCCCUCCCGUAAGGCAUCACCGCCCCCGCCAACCUCUCCUACCUCCUGCCUCAUCCUACCAUUCUCCUGAUUCAUCUUCCCCUAGGACACAUCCCACCUGACAUUUUAUAUAUUUAUUUUCUGAUUAUCUGACGGCCUCUGGUGGAAGGUGACUUCCAGAAGGUGGGGAUUUCUAGAAUAUCUUCUUGGAAUGUAUGCUCAGUGCUUAGAAACUUGCCUGGCAUUUAGAAAGUGCAAUAAAUAUUCACAGAAUAUAACCAGAAUCUAUGGUCUAGCUUGCAGUCUAUAUGUGGCCGUCCACAGUGAACAGCAUUUUUUUCAAUGAGUUUUCACUGUGAUUAUUUUAAAUCGUUGCUCCUUUCUUUCCAGCUAUGUGGCUGGGCAUCUGGAGGCAAUGGCAGUACACCACGCGUGCGGAUUCUCC
rnacentral:lncRNA from 1 species